rnacentral:misc_RNA from 1 species
ACCUCAUGUUAUUGAUGAGGCUAUGAUUAUGCUGUUGCUGGAAAACAGCUCUUAGGUCCUUCCACCAAGGGGAGCAUUCUGCACUGUUUCUUCCAAAACAUAAAGCAUUCCACCCACCAUACUUGGACAUCAAAACUCUAGCCCAAAGCUGAUUCUGGUUAUUAGCCAGAUCCCAUCCCCAUUUACCAAUCAAGGCCUCAUUAAACUUAGACAAAUCUUUGAUCCCCAACCCUCCUUUAGUCUUGGGAAGACAAACAAUAUCCCAGAUCACC